rnacentral:rRNA from 1 species
UACGUAAAGGGCGAGCGUUAUCCGGAUUUAUUGGGCAUAAAGGGCGCGUAGGCGGUAUCUUAAGUCAGAUGUUAAAUCCUUCAGCUUAACUGAAGUUCGCAUUUGAUACUGAGAUGCUAGAGAUCAAGAGAGGAAAGCGGAACUCAUGGUGUAGCGGUGAAAUGCGUAGAUAUCAUGAGGAACACCAGUUGCGAAAGCGGCUUUCUGGCUUGAAUCUGACGCUGAGGCGCGAAAGCAUGGGGAGC